CUUGCCGUGCUAGGUGGGGAGGUAGCGGUUCCCUGUACUCGAAAUCCGCUUUAUGCGAGGCUUAAUUCCUUUGUUGAGGCCGUAUUUUUGCGAAGUCUGCCCAAAGCACGUAGUGUUUGAAGAUUUCGGUCCUAUGCAAUAUGAACCCAUGAACCAUGUCAGGUCCUGACGGAAGCAGCAUUAAGUGGAUCAUCAUAUGUGCCGUAGGGUAGCCGAGAUUUAGCUAACGACUUUGGUUACGUUCGUGAAUUACGUUCGAUGCUUAGGUGCACGGUU
rnacentral:SRP_RNA from 4 species